rnacentral:lncRNA from 1 species
CUGAUCUGGAGCAGAACUAUCAUCUGGAGCAGAACUAUCAACUGAUCUGGAGCAGAACUAUCAGCUGAUCUGGAGAAUAACUAUCAGCUGAUCUGGAGCAGAACUAUCAGCUAUUCUGGAGCAGAACUAUCAGCUGAUCUGGAGUAGAACUAUCAGCUGAUCUGGAGUAGAACUAUCAGCUGAUUUGGAGUAGAACUAUCAGCUGGAGCAGACUAUCAGCUGGAGCAGAACUAUCAGCUGAUCCGGAGUAGAACUAUCAGCUGAUCUGGAGCAGAACUAUCAGCUGAAGCAGAACUAUCAACUGAUCUGGAGCAGAACUAUCAGCCUGUCUGGAGAAGAACUAUCAGCUGAUCUGGAGCAGAACUAUCAGCUGAUCUGGAGAAGAACUAUCAGCUGAUCCGGAGUAGAACUAUCAGCUGAUCCGGAGCAGAACUAUCAACUGAUCCGGAGUAGAACUAUCAGCUGAUCUGGAGCAGAACUAUCAGCUGAAGCAGAACUAUCAACUGAUCUGGAGCAGAAUUAUCAGUUGAUCUGGAGAAGAACUAUCAACUGAUCUGGAGCAGAACUAUCAGCUGAUCUGGAGAAGAACUAUCAGCUGAUCUGGAGUAGAACUAUCAGCUGAUCUGGAGUAGAACUAUCAGCUGAUCCGGAGCAGAACUAUCAACUGAUCCGGAGUAGAAUUAUCAGCUGAUCUGGAGAAUAACUAUCAGCUGAUCUGGAGCAGAAAUAUCAGCUAUUCUGGAGCAGAACUAUCAGCUGAUCUGGAGUAGAACUAUCAGCUGAUUUGGAGUAGAACUAUCAGCUGCAGCAGACUAUCAGCUGGAGCAGACUAUCAGCUGGAGCAGACUAUCA